UCUCACCUGUGACUACCAAGGCUACAGGCAGGUGGUUCAGUCACCACUCAACAGAAGCCUGCACCAGAAGAGCUUUAAAGGAUGAUUUUUGUGUGUGUCUGUGGCGUCCUUUCCAGGUGAAGGGGUCAGGCAGCCCUAAGAAGCCAUCCAGUUCUGGGAUCUGUGACACAAGGAGGACAUCAAACAGCUGAAGCAAGUUUGAAGCAACUGCUUCAAGGAAAUAAAGGGUCUCUUCCAACCAAAACUCUUCUCUGAAUCCAUGAUUCUACUGAAUCCCAGCAAUGGCAGGAGGCAAUGACCCUGUUAUUGGAAGAAACUGGGUCUGCCCUCAUUUGAUUCAGCUCUCCCAAGCUCACCCUAAGCAGAUGUGGCUCCUCCUCUUCCUAGGCACCUGCACAUGUUGACUUUUCCCAUCCAUCCAUCACCUGCUCUCCCAGCACAAGCCGCAGCAAAGCUGCUCUGGGACUGGGUAAAUAUUUGCUGGCACCACUGAGUGCCAUCAUCUGGAAGGACAGCAGGGUGGAUUUGAGACAAGCUGAGCAUCUAAGAAUAGUCCUCUUUGUCAUCCAGCCCCUACCCUUGAGUGAUCCCCGUGCAUCCCUCAACACCUGGACCGUCCAAGCCUUGCAGCAGACGUCCUGCAGGCUGCUGCCUACUGCUGCCUGCUGGAUUUUAGCACCGUUACUCAAGGGCCUGAGUUUCUUGGCAGGUCAUCUAGAAAGCAGAAAAUGACUCCAAAAGAGAGCAGAUCUCCAGACAGGGAGAGUAAAAAAGACUUCUUUUAGUGUGAUUUUUCUGAGAGACAUCAGCAGCUCUUUUGCACUGUUGGGUGGGAGGAAAGGGCAGGAAGAGGAGGAGGACAUAAUUCUGCUCCAGCUUGCUACAUCAUCAGUUUGCAUUAAAAUAUUCUUCUGCCACA